GCUGCGAUUAGCCGGGCCAGCGGAUGCCGCCGGGCUUUCCGGGUACGGCCAGGCGGUGGUCGCCGCCAUCGAUCGCGGCG
rnacentral:tRNA from 1 species